GAGCCUUUCCCGGGGCGAGAGCGGCUCGGCGGGGCCCAGGGAAGUGCCCAGCGGUGCCCGCAGCACUCAGGGUGACGCCCCUGGCCCUGCUCGGCUCAGGUUUCCAGCAGCAGCUCCAGGAAUCCACCCCGUGAGCACGUCACCAUCUCUGCAUACCUAAAGAAUUAAACAGCCACCCAGCAAACACCCACAAAGCACCUGUUAGCAGGUUUUUGCACAUACUGGAGCUUUAUUUCUCAGGAGAGGAAAAGUUGGUGUCACUUGGAUUUUACCAAAGGAGCCUGUGCUCACACACCAGGUGUAAAUUCCCACUCUUGGCCGUCUCAGCUUUGAAUAUUAAUUUCAGAGAAACCAAGUGAUAAAUAGGUGGGCAAAAUACUCAGGAGUAACACUCCUGCAGGAUCCCCUUUGGACAGACUGGUACUUCCACAUCCCCAGACAGCACUGCCUUCCCAGCAGGGAUGAAGGAGAAUUGGACAUUUUCAGGAAUCAAAUCCCCUGGGAUUUCUGUAACCAUGGUAACAGAUGGCAGGCCUGGUUCCAACCUGUGUUCGACUGUUCCAGCAGUAAAAAAUUGGAUUCUGUAAAUAACCAUAACUUGGAAUAAAUUCCUGGCCUUUUACUUCCCCGUUAAAA